GAUUUUCCUUCUGUUGGAUUUUAGAUUAGUUUGUGGUGAUUGUGCUUCCUUUGGGUUCAGGAUUGAGGUUGUGCUGGUGCUCCCGUUUUGCUCUCUGGGAGUGCGUGUGAUCAGGCACGCGUCGUGGGCGUGGAGCUCUUAACCGAGAUCCUGAGGUGUUCGGGACUUGGCGGUGGACUGUUGUGUGGUUUUCCCCCUCCCUCCUCCUGCCGCUUACUGGUGCGCGCACCUGGCCUAAUUGUCCGUGGCGCAAGGGGAGCACGGCCACGCCAACGCCGUUGUUUUGUCUUUACUUUUGCUUCAUGCCUUUUCAGCUGGGUGUCAUUUACCCAAUUGAUUUAUUCUUUAUUUUGGCCAGGGUUCAACCGUUUAUGGUGAGUCCCCCUAUUUUUCAGUACGUUUAUUUACAAUUUGUAUUUUUUUCUUUUCUUUGUUUGCAUGUAGGUUUAAUUUGUCAAUUGCUUGCAUGAUUUGGUUUAUUUAGUUUGUUCAGUGCUUUGCUCGUCUUGCUUUUCGUUUAUUUGCUUUGCAUGUUUUCUUUGGUUGGGUUGCAGUGUUUUUUUUUUUUUUUUUUUUUUUUUUUGUUUUCUGCAUGGUUCUUUUUGUUAAUUGGGUUUGAAAAUAACUUGCCGCUGAAGAGCUGAUGUGCAGUAUGUAUUUUGUGAAGUUUGUAAACUGUCUUUAACAUAUAUAUUCUAUUGUUGUAGGCCUAUUUUAAACUUUUGGAAAAAAAUAAAUUAAAUUCUUUUUUUAAAACAUUA